rnacentral:lncRNA from 1 species
GGAUGUUUUUAGUAUUAUGAAUAAAACUAUCAAACUUCUUCAGAACUUAUAUAAUAUAAAUAAAAAUGGUCAUUAAGUGUAAAAAUAUAAAUUUAAAAUACAGAGUAGGUGAAGCUCAAUCUAAUCAGUAAAAUUGACAUCAUUGCUAUUAUUUUAUUUCUAGGAUGGGGACAACUUUUGAGUUUUGGUCACACAAUUUAAAUUCAAAUGAAAUAAAGAAUAAUAUCAAUUAAGCCAUUAUACAUUUGAAGCCUAGGGGUAUAACAUAUAAAUAAAUAAAUCUUAAUAAUCAAACACAACUAUUAACUAUCUUAAAACUAACGGUUUCCGCUCUUCCCUAUCACCAAACUCUACUAAGUUGUAAGGACUAAGAAUAUAUUUUGGAAACAACAACUUUUCCAGUCUUAAAAUAUAUCAGCCUAAUGGCUGCUUAUGCGCUAUUUUUGACACAGUGAAUUUUUCAAAUUGAUUCUUUAUAAUUGGAGUACACAGAAAGAUGAAAUACAGAACUCAGGAAAAACUUGAUGUGAGGGCCUUCAAUCUGUGAACAUAAUAAUUUAAUUUAUAAUGAGUUUAUUUUCUAAGAAAAGUGGCAAUUUAGUUCUAUACAGCCAGACCCUGAUGAAGAAACUGAAAUUUCAUCAGAAUAGUUUUCUCAGUAUAUUGUUAUAUAUUUAUGUAAAUAUAUCUGCAUAAUUUAUGUUUAAAUCUAUACAACUGACAUUAAAUCUUAAUAAAACAUCACAUUCUGAAGUAUAAUCUAUUUCGUGGAAAAAACUAUAAAAGUGUUUUCAAGUUCAUUACAAACUUAGAUUCCCAAUUAGUGGUUUCUCUAUCUUUAAAUGCGAGAAAAAAGAAGCAAAUACUAUACUUGGGAAAUUAUGUCAAAACAGUAAUACUGGUUCAUCACACGAUAUUAUUACUUAGUAGAGUCUUUAGCACAACUUCUAAAGUCCUUUUUCAAUGUUUAUUCUUAUUAAUAUUUACAUACCAGGAUAGGAGCAUUCAUAUUAAUGUAUGGACAAAGAUGCAUUCAUGAAUCCCAGGAUAUGAUAAAGAGGUAGUACUACUUCAUAUAUGAAUUCUGGAAAACACCAAACUUUUUUUUUCCUAUAAUGGAAGACACUUAUUUUCAAACUCUAAAAUCUCCAUGAUAAUUCUUUAACAACUCAGUCAUCCUAAGAAACAAGUAUGCCUAAUGAAUAUUAUCCUAAGAUUCCUACAGGUAAUCUUUCCACUGUUUAACUCUUUCUGAACCAAAGGAGCAACCAUGCAUUUCCUCUCCAGAUGCACAGCAUGCACUUCUAAAGCCCUGCAGACGAUGAGCUGGAAUCUUCCAUUUCUUUUUACUCUUUCUAACCUCAUGAAUAAAUGAACAAUCUUUUCUAGAAGAAGCCACCUAAACACACAGGGAGAAAUAUAUGGAACAGCAUCAUUAUUUUCCUGAGAACUCUUGUAAGAAAUCUGUUCAUUACUGCCUUAAUGAUGUUUUGCACUGACCGUCCCAAGUCCUAGACUGCAUUACAUCCAACUGCCAAAGAGGCAAAGCAAUUUCAGGUAAAAUAUUGGAUUCGCCGUCUUCCAUUUUAAUAAGCAAGUACUAAACGGUCAUUAAUUUGUUGGGGAGGGGGUGAUAAAGAGAAGUCCAUAGAUGCCCAAGCUGCUCCAAAUAUGAUCCUUUUUUCAUCCCCAAAACCGUGUUCAUUUAAGUUAAAACCAUAGGUAUAAAAAUAAGAAACUUAUUUUUGCCAUGUUUUCACUUUUCAUUUACUGACCUACCUAAGCAAAACGCAAUAAACUUCCUCUACACAAACACACCGAAGUGGAAGAAUAACUCCCGAGUAGCUGUCACCUACACUAAUCACUCUAACCAAGCAGCAGCCAACCAAUCUCCAGGACCAGAAACAACUUUCCAGAAACAUCAGCGGCGUCAAAACCCUCUUCCCCCAAACCAAGGGAGCGGGAUUUGGAGCCUUCCCUGCUGCAGUGGUUCCAAGUGCGUGACAGCAGAGCCACACACACAAAUCAGGGAGCGAGACCAGAGAAGGCACCUCAGAGUUGGGCUACUUACGGGACGUGGCGGGAGCCGUCCAGGCUCUGCAGAGGAUGCUGCCGACCAGCCAAAGCGAAAGCGCUGCCCCGCAAACGGAGCGCGGAGCCUCCACCAUCCUUAGCCCCCGGGCUCGCGGUACUCCAAAAGCUCGCUGCGGAGAGACGCCGUCCGUCUCCCCGUGGGGUGCUUGGAGAGAGAUGGGCUGUCCUCAGGCACCACAGAAAGCCGAGCCCCUCCGGCUUCCUCUUCUCCCCUCACCCCCUCCGCGUUCCAGUCCGGCCGGGCUCGGAACAGCAGGGCGGUCGCAGCCUUCCUCUUCCCUCCGCGCGGUUCUUGCCUCUUGCUCUGCGAACCAGUGAAAUGCCAGGGGGAAGAAUUCAAACCCAGAAGAAAAGGGAGGGGGGAGCAGAGGAGGGGACGCCUACCCCGCCCUCUCCCUCUCAGGGGAAAAAAAAAAAAAUCACCAGGGGACUAGGUGGAAAAUCAGAAGAGCGGAGGCUGCAGAAGAAGGGAGCGCGCCAGAGACGGCGGUGCUGAUGCUGCCACUGCAGGCGGGCGAGUGCUCC